rnacentral:rRNA from 1 species
GACGAACGCUGGCGGCGUGCUUAACACAUGCAAGUCGGACGGAAAGGCCCUGCUUUUGUGGGGUGCUCGAGUGGCGAACGGGUGAGUAACACGUGAGUAACCUGCCCUUGACUUUGGGAUAACUUCAGGAAACUGGGGCUAAUACCGGAUAGGAGCUCCUGCUGCAUGGUGGGGGUUGGAAAGGUUCGGCGGUUGGGGAUGGACUCGCGGCUUAUCAGCUUGUUGGUGGGGUAGUGGCUUACCAAGGCUUUGACGGGUAGCCGGCCUGAGAGGGUGACCGGCCACAUUGGGACUGAGAUACGGCCCAGACUCCUACGGGAGGCAGCAGUGGGGAAUAUUGCACAAUGGGCGGAAGCCUGAUGCAGCAACGCCGCGUGCGGGAUGACGGCCUUCGGGUUGUAAACCGCUUUCGCCUGUGACGAAGCGUGAGUGACGGUAAUGGGUAAAGAAGCACCGGCUAACUACGUG